GGCCAUGACCUCUAGUUUCAGGGCACAUGGGGUGAAAUCCUAGCUAUACUGAAGCCAGAGGGGCCCAGACUGGUUUUCUCCUCACAUUCUCGAGUCCUUCGGGCUUUGCAGCUGUGCUGCUAAAGGUGACAUGGCUGCAGAAUCCAAAGGUGCAGAGGCAGCACAAGCUAUCCAAAUUGGCUACUUUCCCGUGUGGGAAGUUUUAUGUCCCUUGGACAUAGUGGUUUUUCAACAGUAAUUGCAGAAGAAAUCCUGAUGCCUCAUCUAGAGCUGAUAGCUAAAGUAUUGAAAGACAAUGGUUUUCUCUUCUAAGGCUGAAGGACCUGUGAAAUGGAUUUGGAGCCAGCCUUCUCCAUCAGCUAAUCUAUGUGUGAGAGCUAAAUAAAAGAACCUUGGGGAAAGGUGAAAAAAGAGUA
rnacentral:lncRNA from 1 species